CUCCUCACUUGUUUUGGCUGCCACGCAAUCUUCCCUAUCCAACCUGCGAUCCGGCCAAAGAUUAGAAGGCACCGUGACGUAGGUCUCGUCUCCGGGUAUCUCUUGGGCCCCUAAUACAGUGAAUAAACCAUGUGGAAUGCAUCGAAAGAGCCAGGUACACUAAAGCUGAUUUACAUUAAAAGCUGGUAAAGGUAGCUGAACGGUUACCACGCUGUCCUGCAGUCUUUUAGGGGGAAUCUGUUUCCUGCUUCCCCGAUCCAUGCUGCUUCAGCCUCCAAGAAUGCCCAGAGCUGACCCUGCAACAAGAC